GGGGUUACCUUAGCAUCGAGGCGUUCCUGCAAUAAAGCUGUUGAGAAGAAUCCAACCGUGUUUCCUUUUUCCUUGCAGGACGAGGAAAUUGGUUUCCUGCUUGAUGUCUGAGGAGGCAUUUGCUAAGAUUCAGCCUCACCAAAAAUCAUGAUGCUGAUGACAAUGGCGGCCGCCCUCUGCCAGGUGGCCACUCAGAGCUUGGAGCUUGUCCUAGCAUUCCCAGGAAGUGAUCACAGCUCAUCCUGCACAGGUCCUUGUGGUCCCUAAAUGGUCUGCAGCAAGACAGAGCGCCCCUAGUUAUGAGGACCCUGCUCAUUGCUGGGACCUGAAGCCAAUGGCUCAUCUCUCCUUCCCACCAUUCACUUGCUUCACUUUGCUUCCUCGAUUCACCACAUAAAUCACUUGCGCCCAGGCCUUUUCCUUAUGGUUCGCUUUGGGGCAGUGUACAUGGAGAUGAAUGCCAUUUCAGUGUGCUUAAGACUUGUUCUUAGGACCCAUACUAUGAAGCACCUUUCAGACAGGUCAGUGAGGUGGUUUAGUGGAACCUACAAGAGGUAUCUCAGUGCCCCGUGUUGCCUGAUUACCACUGUUUAGGAAUCCCAUUGGCAGGUAGGGUAAGAAAACCUGAGAGAACCAUCGCAGGCCCUCCUUGCUCUAACUCACCAUUUACCCU
rnacentral:lncRNA from 1 species